rnacentral:tRNA from 1 species
AGGGGAUUAGUCUAAUAAGACAACUGACUUCGGCUCAGUAGAUUAUGGUUCGACUCCAUAAUCCCCUU